rnacentral:rRNA from 1 species
AGAACGAACGCUGGCGGCAUGCCUAAUACAUGCAAGUCGAACGAACACUUCGGUGUUAGUGGCGCACGGGUGCGUAACGCGUGGGAAUCUGCCCUUGGGUUCGGAAUAACAGUUGGAAACGACUGCUAAUACCGGAUGAUAUCGAAAGAUCAAAGAUUUAUCGCCCAGGGAUGAGCCCGCGUAGGAUUAGCUAGUUGGUGAGGUAAAGGCUCACCAAGGCGACGAUCCUUAGCUGGUCUGAGAGGAUGAUCAGCCACACUGGGACUGAGACACGGCCCAGACUCCUACGGGAGGCAGCAGUAGGGAAUAUGGACAAUGGGCGCAAGCCUGAUCCAGCAAUGCCGCGUGAGUGAUGAAGGCCUUAGGGUUGUAAAGCUCUUUUACCCGAGAUGAUAAUGACAGUAUCGGAAGAAUAACGCCCGACUAACUCCGUGCCAGCACGCCGAC